AUGAAAUAUGAAGUUUUAUUAAAAGAAAAGGGGUGAAAAGAACAAAGUUUUGUCCAUCUUUGUUCAUCAUAGCUGAAAGUUAGAGAAGAGAAAGGAGAGGAGAAAACUCUUGAGUAUUUUGUCAUUAGGAGGAGGAAAAUUGAAGGCGGUUCGUGUGUGGAUCUCGUCAGCAUAUCGUCGCAAACAGGUAAUCCCCAACCAUAGUGGGCUUGGAGCUGUGAGGGAAUUCGGAGUGGCCACCUGUUCUGAAAGUUUGAUUUUCUUCUGGUGAACUGGACAUCCUUUUAUUUACGUCUGAAGUUUUGGGUUUUUAAAUGUAAUAAGGCCACUUAUUUAUUUUUGAUGGUUUUUUUUUAUAUGUAUUACUAAGAUAGGUAAUACUUAUUUUAACUGUUGAAAUUGAAUAGCUUUAGGGCGCGUUUUCAAAAACAACAGUUGAUUUCAAAAUAACACGACAACAAGCAAAGCUUCCACAAUGAAA